UUAUUUAUUUAUUGUUAUAUGGUGCUGAGGAUCAAAUCCAGGGCCUCCCACGUGCUAGGUGAGCGCUCUACCACUGAGCCACAAUCCCAGCCCCUCACAGAUUCUUUAAAUGGGCAGAACAGUUUCAGUUAUAGAAUUUAAGCAAGAUUUUAAGGAACUGUAACUAAUUAUAUCUUGAUAUUAAUGAAUUCCACAGGUGGAAAGGCUGUUGGGAUGAUGCAUUAAAAUAUGACCUUCAUUACCAUCCUAGAUCAAAGAUAUGACAUAACAUGGGGUUUAAAAAAGUAGAAGUCACUGAGGGUAGGAGGCUGUGCAUUAAAUGGUAUCCUGUAAGCCAUUUGUAGCCUAGGUAAACCUUUAGCCAGCCCUCACUAUUUAAUUUAUAUAUACUAAUUUCUCUUCUAGAGAAUUUGGAAUAGUAGGUAGAUAAUAAUUCAAACAGAACAAAUAAUAAUAAGGUAAAACACCAGUUUUCCAGAAAAGAGUAAAAAUAUAAGGUGAGAAAAUUUCAGUGGUGAAUUAAAUAUCUAUUUCAUUUAGGAGUAGAAAAAAAGUAGAAAAAUAUUAUGAAAGUCCUAAAUUGUAGUAAUGCAAAAUUCAGUUCAAAUGCACUUUGUUAAUUGGUAAAUGAUAUUGUGGAAUCUUAAGCUUAGAUACAAUAAAUCAAUUUAUUUUAAUAGACAUUAAACCUUGGGAAAUGACCCAGAGAAGAAAUUAAAACUGUUCUACAUGUGACUAAUAUAAAAACUAUUUAUUGCAAUAGUUGACUUAAUUUUCAGUUGAUACUCUGGUCUGUCUUCUUGACUAACCCCAGAUAUUUAAAUAGUUGAUUAUCACACAAUUUAAAAGCCAUAAGAAAUUAAAAAUGGCCAUUUUUAUAUUAGCCAUCAAGAGUUGUAUGUUUUUAGUUGAUGUCUAGUAUGAAAAUAUUAGCAGUGCUGAUAGUAGGCAGGCUUAAAUGCCACACUCUUUAGCAAUGGCCUGAGAAUCAAAUUAUCCUGGAAGCAAAGGGAGCUUUACCUUCAGAGCUGUUCAUGUGCAGACCUCUCACAAUUUUUGAUUUUAAAUAUACAAGUUCAUACCUAAUUUUUGUAUGAAUAAUUUUUAGUUUCAUUUUCUAAAGGCAGCGUCCCAAAUUGUAAAAGUGCAGGCCUUAUCAUCUUGGAUCCACCCUAAUAACCUAAGUGAAUUAAAACACUGGCAGGCAGGCUAGGUCAUUCCACAUGUGUUAUUGUCCGUCUUAUAAGAGGUGUCCUCCCAAAGCUCCUGUUAAUGCAGGAAUAUUCAGAGGUAAAUGACCAGAUUAUGAGAGCUGUAACAUAAUCAGUACAUCCUAGUUUGAACAGACUGCCUGGGUGGUAGCUGUAGCGGCUGGGGCAUGGGUCAUUGGGGGCAUGCCCUGGAAGUUCUUACUUUGGCUCCUCCUUUGUCUCUCUGCUUCCAGAACCUCCCAUGAGCUGAACAGUUUUCCUCUGCUGGGCCCUUCUCCCAGGAAGUGCUACCUCACCUUUGGUUCAGAGAAUGGAGUCAACUGUAUAGGCAGGCUGAGACCUCUGAAACUGAGCCCCAGGUGUGAUGAGCACUUGACCUCAUUGUGCUCAGCUGGUAAGUAUCCAGGAUCCAUUUUAUUUACCUUGCUCAUUGGCUAAACAAAUGUAUCUGCCAUCUCAAUUUGAAGCUCUGAGACCCUGGUACAAGUCCUCUGCUAGAAUAGACUACAUUUAUAUCAACACAUCUUCUAUAACUGGAUAAAAAUUUUAAAUAUAAGUUACUCCUAAGACUUUAAACUAGGCUGGAAUUGUGGCUCAGUGGUAGAACACUUGCCUAGCAUGUGUGAGGCACCACAUACCAAUAAAUAAAUAAAUAAAAUUAAAAAAUCAUCAACAACUAAUAAAAAAUGCUAAAAAAGACUUUGAAUAUUGUUCAAUUCCAAAGAAUUACCAAACUGUGCUGCCAAAAAGUUAUUUAAAAUGAUAAUAAUUUAAUAGAAGGCUCAAAAAUCUCUAAGACUCCAAUCUUAAGUAGUCAAGGUCUGUUAUAUUAAAACAAAAUCCUACAAAUGCCUACAGGCUAUCAAAAAUCUUAAGCGUUGCACAAAAAUAUGAAUUAAUCAUUGUCUGUGAGCUGUUACGAUAUUAUUAAGCACUUAUGUGCUAAAGGUUUCAUAGGCACUGGCUCAUUUAAUCCCCACAUUUUAGAAACUUGCCCAGGGUCACUCAGGUAAUAAUUAUUAAUGGUGGAGUCAGGUCUUGACCCAAAGUCUGUCAGACACCAAAGCAAACUCUUUACAAGGAACUAUAAUUCUUCUUAUAAAACCUUUCAUUUGGUUUAGAAAAUCAGAUUCAAAAUAGAACUAUCUUUCUUAACUGAAUUUUAUUCUUUUUAAGAAAUAUUGUAAUACAUUUUAAGAAGAAUAAGUAGCACAGUAUAUGACAAUGUGCUCUAGAUCCUGAAGUAUUACAUUUUAACUUUACUUCAUUUGUAUCAUUUAUUUUUAACUGAUGCAUAAUAUGUGCCUAUUAGAACAUUUAUUACUUGUGUUGGGAGCCAUUGAACUCCUCUCUUCUAGUUUUUCAUAAAACAUAUAAUAAAUUACUGUAAACCAGUCAAACAUAUAUGGAAUUUUGUAUCAAAAAAGUUUUUGGUACCAGGGAUUGAACCCAGAGGUACUUAACCACUUUAUUUAGAGACUUAGCGCUUGUUGAGGCUGGCUUUGAACUUGAGAUUCUCCCACCCCAGCCUCCCUAGCUGCUGGGGUUAUAGGUGUGGGCCACUGUGCCUUGUUGUAUCAAAAUUUUAAAUAAAUAAAACAUACCAAAUAUAGUAAAAAAUAAGUCCCCUCUUUGCCCUUCCCUCCUCCUUUACCUUUCCCUAGAGGUACCCACUGUGCUGAAGUUGCUGUGGCUUCUUCCAGCUCAUAUUUUUAUACUUCUAUUAAUGGUUAUGCAUCCUUUGUUUUUAAAAUUUCCAGAAACAUAUGUUACUCUAACAACCUUUAGCAAUCUUUUUUUUUCUAAUUGUGUUUCAAAUUUACCUGUUUGUGUAACUAGCUUUCCGUUCCCUACUAAUCAUAUGCUUUACUGCUUUCUCUUGCAUGAAUGUGCUGUGGCUUGUUUCACCCAUCAAUGCUGCAAAUGCUGCCCUCAUUUCCCCCCAUUAUAACGGAUGCUUCUUUCACUAGCUGAACAGGAAUAAUCCCACUUCUCUGCAACUAAAUCAAAUUUUGGUAUUUUUAAAUGUUUGUAUGUAAAGUAAGGUAAUGUUACCUUGUUACAGUUUUAAUUUAUAGUUCCAUGAUUGCUAGUGAGGUGUACCAUCUUUUGUAUGUCCUAAGCCAUCUUCUUCUAUGAACUAUUUAUAUUCUGUCAAAUUUCUGUAAAUCUAAAACUGGACUUUUAAAUUGAAAAUCCACUGAUUUUUUGAAAGAUUGUUUGAAUGAGCUCAUUUUAAAUUCUGUACAGUAAACUUUUGUAAGUUAUCUGUACUACAAAGAUAUUCUCUCAGUUUGUGUGGCUUAUUGUAUAUAGCAGGCUGAAUAACCCCUCCCUACUCCCUCUUCAAAAUCCUAAUUCUACAAAUACAGUGUGUUAUCUAACACAGUAAAUGGAACUUCAAAGAAAGAUAAAGAAUUAAGGAUCUUAAGACAGGGACAUCAGUCUGGAUUAUUCAGGUAAAUACAUAUAGCCACAGGUAUCCCUGUAACAGAGAGACAGGAGGGUCAUAAGAGCGAAUUUGGAGGGAUGCACUUUGAAGAUGGAGAAGGCAUACAGUCAGGAAAAGCAGCUGGCCUCUGGAAGCUGGAAAAGGUAAACCAAUGCAUUAGCCCCUAAAUAUUCCUAGGAAGAACAAUACCUUCAAUUUACCUGCAAGCUUCUGACAACCAUAACUAUAAGGUAUCAUAUUUCUGCUGUUUUAAGCUAGUAAAUCUGUAGUAAUUUUGUUACAUCAGUGCUAUGCUUUGAAUGUCCCCACCAAAACUCAUGUUGAAAUUUGAUUCUCAACCUCAGGCCCUCAAAGGCUUGAACCUCAAUCCAACUAUGGUAUUUGGAGGUGGUUAAAGUGAAAUAAAACCAUAAGGGUGCAGCCCUAAACCAAUAGGACUGUGGCUUUAUAAGAGGAGGAGGAGAGACCUGAGCUAGGGAGCUCAGUUCCUCUCCCCAUGCGAUGCUGUGCACUGUCUUGGGUCUCUGCAGAGUCCCAACCAGAAAAGACAAUUAUCAGACGUGGCUGUAUCUUGAGCUUUCCAACUUUCAGAAGAACCAUAAGCCAAGUAAAUUUUUAUAUAUAUAAAUUACCAUGUCUGGGGUGUUCAGUUAUAGCAACAGAAAAUAAAUUGGGACGAGCAGCAACAAGAAACUACUAUGCUUUUUCUUACUAACCAAUGCUUUUUGUGUUUAAAAGAAAUUGAUCCUAUUUCAAGAUCAUUAGAAUAGUUUCCUAUGUUUUCCUUUAAGUUGUAAGGUUUACUUCCCACUUUUAGGUUGUGUUUCAAGUUCAGUAAUGUUCUAACUAUCGUUUUCCAUAACUAUACUAACACCAUUAGUAUAUAUAUUAUGAACUGUUAAAUAAAUGGUGUUAGUAUAGAGUCAACUAUACUAACACCAUUUAUUUAACAGUUCAUAAUAGCUACAUUGUAAGGCUCUCUGUGUCAUCUUCCAUGUUUUGGUAUUAUGUAAGGUAGUUUCUAUGCUACUUAUCCUAUUCCACUGUUUCACAGGUCUUUCCUUGCACUAGUACCCAAAACCUUAAUUAUUACUGCUGCAUAAUAACUAUGCAUUUGCUAAGAUAAUUAAUCCUACCUGUUAUUCUAAAAAUUAUUGUCAUGAUUCUGGACCCAUUCUUUUACAAAUUAAUUGUAGGAUAAUUAGCUAUUAAUUGUGUUGUGUGUUUUGUCAUGUUUUAUCCACCCCCACCACCAAAAUAGACAAAAAGUUGUAAACACUUUGGAAGUGUAUUGAUUUGGGGGGAAUCAUACCUUUGAAAUUAUUGUCUUUUCAUCUAAAACACAAUCUUACUCCACCUUUUUAUGUACUUUAGAUACAGCUUUUAUAAUUUGCUUCAGAAAGGGCUUAUUGUCUUAUAUUAGGUUUAUUCCUAUGUACCCUAUAGUUUAAUUGCUACUUUUCUUGUAUCUAUCUACUUUAAGUAUACACAUUAAUCCCAAUAACUUAUUUGUAGAUGCUCUUGACAGUCUUGUUUUUUCCACUAUACUUUUCUUUUUGUUUUUUGUUUGUUUCAAUCUUAUAAAUUGGCCAGGACUGCAGAGUACUGUGGAGCACAGGUGGUGAUAGCAAAGACCUUUGUCUUCUGCCUGAAUUUAAAGGAACUGCUUCAAAUGUCUCACUAGCAGGGGGAUGUUUACUGUGGAUUUAUGCUGGUGUUCAUGUUCACAAUGUAUAAAAUCAUACUUUUGAUGAUAUAUGGGUUCAGUUUAAUAUCAACCAAAUUCUUCUACUCUUUAUAAACUCACAGCAUCCUUUUGUUCUAGGGCUGGAUUUUAAAGUCUUCCAAUAUUUGGGGCUGUGUCUCUUAUUCAGUACUCUUGCAGAGAAUGAAUCACUCUUGUUAACUCUUAUUACACCUCUUAAGAUCAUUUAUGUCAUCAGUCAUAAUUUCAUAUUCAGGUUUUCUACAGUCUCUUGUUAUGUUUCUUUGACUCUGUCUGCUUAUAGCUGCCAAGACAGGAUUAUUACUUCAAAGAAGGCCAAACUUCUAUGCCAAACCACCAUAGAGACAUCAGAGAAGCAACGUGCAGACUAUUGCUCCCAUGGCAACACAAUAAAAGCAAGUUACUGAACACACUAUUGGGCCAAUAUUUAUUAUGCCUUACACUGUAGUUUGAAGCAUUCACUUCCUUCUUGGAUCAAUCAAGAGUUGUUUAGGUUUCCUGCUCUCAUUUAUUAUGUACCCAUUAUUCUUUUAUUAUCCAGUUUGUCUUUAAAGCAUUUCAUUAGUAGCUGGCAGCUGUAAAUUAUGGUUUUUGAAAAAACAAACAAACAAACAAAAUACUUUUCCACCCUCCUCUGACUUCCAAAUCUACCAGUAUAACAUUGUAUGUAGAUAAGAUACAAAUCCACUGCAAGUUCAAAGUACAACCCCUCUUAUGGAAAGAACUGAAGUAGACCAACAAAUUGUAUACAAGUACUGCUUACAUAAUUUUAGGCAAGAAUAAAUUAGCUUACUUAGUGUAUUUAUUAAUGGAUUCUUGACAUCUUUAUGGGCCAUGUGCUAAGGAGAGGUGACCAAAAUGUGAAAGAACUUAAGCUACAAAUAAAUACAGAACUUGCCUUAAAUGACUUUACAGGUUCCAUAGUUGUGAUAAAAGUAGAAAGUGAAAAGCAUCUUGAGAUUCAGUGAAAGAAUAUUCAGGGAAGAUAAAUAUCACUUCAAGAAACUGUCUCAGGAGGCUGAGACAGGAGGAUCAGAAGUUCAAAGCCAGCUUCAGCAAAAGCAAGUUGCUAAGCAACUCAGUGAGACCCUGUCUCUAAAUAAAAUAAAAAAUAGGGCUAGGGAUAUGGCUCAGUGGUUGAGUGCCCCUGAGUUCAAUCCCCAAUUACCACCUCCCCCACCCCAAAAAAUAAAAGAGAGAGAAAGAAAUGUGGAUCACUGAAAGGUUCUUAGAACUGGAGUCCUUUGAAUUAGGUCUUAAAUGAUUAAAAGAGGAGAAAGAAAAAAAGGUGUUUUAUGUUUCCACAUAAGUGAUACAAAAUAAGAGAUAGUUAAAGCAAGGCAUUGGGAGGGGGCAGUGGUAGCUUUGUAAACAGGACACAUGAAGGAGAAUGAGAAAUAAUAUUGGGAAAAGUAGGUUGGACUAGACUUUAUUAGAAGGUUAUAAGUUCAAAGCUGCAAACAGGAAGAACUGAAGAAGAAAGGGCCCAAAGGAAUAAAAUUAGUGAAGUGACAAUAACAAUAGUUUGGAAAAGACAGAAUAAAGCUCUAAACUUAAGAUAAUGGAAAAAAAACAUUACGUAGGUACACACACCCACACCCACACCCACACACACACCCCUCCAUCUCUAUUCAAUGCUUAGCUACUAAUUGUGUGUUAGAAAUCAUGAAAAAGGUAGAAUCAAAGGUGAAUACUAGUUUUAUGAGCAGAUGAUGGAGUAAUAGCAAAUGUAUUCAACAGAAAUAGGGAAUAAAAGAUGAAAAAAUCUAAAAGGGAAAAUGGGAUACUGCUGGAACUUACUGAGAAAGACCCACUUGGAAUCUAGGAAUGGGACUCAGGAAAUAGGAGACUUCCUGCUUACUCUAUAGAUCUGGGAAUCAUGUGCAUUGACAGAGGAACAGAGGUGAGAGCCAAAGUUAUGAUAAUGGGAAUUUCCAGGUACAAGAAAGAAAAGGCCAAGAACAGAUCUUUGGAAAUUUCUAUACUUUGAGGGUCCAGGAGAAAGAAGACAUUUGAAUUUGAUGAUAGUGGGCUCACUGUGCUAUGUAAUUCUCCUUUAAUUUUGUGUUAAGUAGUUAGCACAGAUUUGGUACCCGGUAGUGGUUAAUACUUGAAUAAACAGAUAUGAAAUGCA